UGGGGUGUAGCUCAGUCGGUUAGAGCAUUCCGCUGAUAACGGAAAGGUCGCAGGUUCAAUUCCUGUCUCCCCAAC
rnacentral:tRNA from 1 species